CAGCAGCCACGGUAAUACGUAGGUGGCAAGCGUUGUCCGGAAUUAUUGGGCGUAAAGGGCUCGCAGGCGGUUUCUUAAGUCUGAUGUGAAAGCCCCCGGCUCAACCGGGGAGGGUCAUUGGAAACUGGGAAACUUGAGUGCAGAAGAGGAGAGUGGAAUUCCACGUGUAGCGGUGAAAUGCGUAGAGAUGUGGAGGAACACCAGUGGCGAAGGCGACUCUCUGGUCUGUAACUGACGCUGAGGAGCGAAAGCGUGGGGAGCGAACAGGAUUAGAUACCCCGGUAGUCCCUGUCUCUUAUAC
rnacentral:rRNA from 1 species